rnacentral:rRNA from 1 species
AUACGGAAGGCAGCAGUGAGGAAUUUUGCGCAAUGGGCGAAAGCCUGACGCAGCGACGCCGCGUGACUGAUGAAGUCUUUCGGGAUGUAAAGGUCUUUUUUGGGGGAAGAAGGAUGUGACGGUACCCCAAGAAUAAGCCCCGGCUAACUACGUGCCAGCAGCCGCGGUAAUACGUAGGGGGCGAGCGUUGUCCGAAUUUACUGGGCGUAAAGCGCGCGUAGGCGGGCUAAUAAGUUGUGGGUGAAAUGCCGGGGCUCAACCUCGGCGCUGCCUGCAAGACUGUUGGUCUUGAGGUAUGGAGGGGAAAGUGGAAUUCCUGGUGUAGCGGUGAAAUGCGUAGAUAUCAGGAGGAACACCGAUGGCGAAGGCAGCUUUCUGGCCAUAUCCUGACGCUGAGGUGCGAAAGCUAGGGGAGCGAACGGGAUUAGAUACCCCGGUAGUCCC